CCCUUAGAUGUCCGGGGCCGCACGCGCGCUACACUGAAGGAAUCAGCGUGGCUUUCUCCCUGACCCGAAAGGGUUGGGAAACCCGUUGAAUCUCCUUCGUGAUAGGGAUUGGGGCUUGAAAUUGUUCUCCAUGAACGAGGAAUUCCCAGUAAGCGCGAGUCAUCAGCUUGCGUUGAUUACGUCCCUGCCCUUUGUACACACCGCCCGUCGCUACUACCGAUUGAAUGGUUUAGUGAGAUCUCCGGAUUGGCUCUGUAGGUCCCGCAAGGGAUUUAUUAGUAGCCAAGAAGCUGCUCAAACUUGAUCAUUUAGAGGAAGUAAAAGUCGUAACA
rnacentral:rRNA from 1 species